AUGGGGCAGGGGCUGUGGGGCAGGAGUCACUAUGGGGCAGGGCUCUCUGUGGGGCAGGAGGUUAUGGGGCAGGGGUUAUGGGUCUGGGCUCUCUAUGGGGCAGGGGGCUGUAGGGCUGGGCUUGCUAUGGGUCUGGGGGCUCUGUGGGACUGGAGCUAUGGGGCUGGGCUCUCUAUGGGGCAGAGGCUGUGGGGCUGGGGGCUCCAUGGGGCAGGAGGUUAUGGGUCUAGCGGCUCUGUGGGGCUGGGCUCUCUAUGGGGCAGGACCUAUGGGGCAGGGGCUAUGGGUCUGGGCUCUCUAUGGGGCCAGGCUCGCUAUGGGGCAGGAUCUAUGGGGCAGGGCUCCGUGGGUCACUCCCCCCAUGUCUCUCCCUGCCCCCCCCAGGCCGAGGCAGCCCCAUGGCGUUGCCCCGCGCCCCCCAAGCGCCGCCCGUGGGGCCGGAGCUGCGCCGCCCCGACGACACGGGGGGCGAGCUGGGGGGCGAACCCUGCCCCACGGCUCUGCCCCACAGCCUGCCCCAUAGCCUGCCCCAUAGCGCGCCCCACGGCAUCUCCCCGGCCCGCGCCCACCUCACCGUGGCCGUGCUGUGCUACAUCAACCUCCUCAACUACAUGGACCGCUUCACCGUGGCCGGCGUCCUUCCCGACGUGGAGGAAUAUUUCGGCAUCGGGGACGGCAGCUCCGGGCUGCUGCAGACGGUGUUCAUCAGCAGUUACAUGGUGCUGGCCCCCGUUUUCGGGUACCUGGGGGACCGCUACAACCGCAAGCGGCUGCUGUGCCUCGGCAUCGCCCUCUGGUCCGCCGUCACCCUGGCCACCAGCUUCGUGCCCCGGGAGGUGGGGCAGGGAUGUGGGGCAGACCCAUGGGGGAUGUGGGGCAGGGUGUGGGGCAGGGAUAUGGG
rnacentral:lncRNA from 1 species